rnacentral:RNase_P_RNA from 1 species
AGGAGUAGGCGCAGGCGGUUGCAGAUCAGUCAUAGUGGCUGGUUUGAGGAAAGUCCGGGCUUCCGAAAGACCAAACUUGCUGGAUAACGUCCAGUGCGAGCGAUCGUGAGGAUAGUGCCACAGAAAGAUACCGCCAACCAAUUUUAGAUUUUAAAUUUUAGAUUUUGGAUUGAAUCUAAAAUCCAAAAUCCAAAAUUCAAAAUUGGUUGGUAAGGGUGCAAAGGUGCGGUAAGAGCGCACCAGCAGCGUCGAGAGGCGCUGGCUCGGUAAACCCCGGUUGGAAGCAAGGCGAAAGGAACUACGGUUGGUCUUUUACCAGUUCCGCUCAAAAAGAGCCGCUUGAGGCGUCUGGUAACAGGCGUCCCAGAUAGAUAACUGCCCUCGAAAGAGAACAGAACCCGGCUUAUGUCCUGCUCUUUCCU